ACGAACGCUGGCGGCGUGCCUAACACAUGCAAGUCGAACGAGAAAGGGACCUUCGGGUACUGAGUAAAGUGGCGCACGGGUGAGUAGCGCGUGGAUAAUCUGCCCUAAAGUCGGGAAUAACUCAUCGAAAGGUGGGCUAAUACCGGAUAAUGCUGCUUUCGCCGUGGCGAUGCAGCCAAAGGGGGCCUCUAUUUAUAAGCUCUUGCUUAAGGAUGAGUCCGCGUACCAUUAGCUAGUUGGUGGGGUAAUGGCCUACCAAGGCGACGAUGGUUAGCUGGUCUGAGAGGAUGAUCAGCCACACUGGAACUGAGAUACGGUCCAGACUCCUACGGGAGGCAGCAGUGAGGAAUCUUGCGCAAUGGGGGAAACCCUGACGCAGCAACGCCGCGUGAGUGAGGAAGGUUUUCGGAUCGUAAAGCUCUGUCGGGUGGACGAAGGGAGACUGACGGUACCCCCAGAGGAAGCCCCGGCCAACUACGU
rnacentral:rRNA from 1 species